AGUGUACGCUGGCGGUAGGCCUAACACAUGCAAGUCGAACGGCAGCACAGUAAGAGCUUGCUCUUACGGGUGGCGAGUGGCGGACGGGUGAGGAAUACAUCGGAAUCUACUUUUUCGUGGGGGAUAACGUAGGGAAACUUACGCUAAUACCGCAUACGACCUACGGGUGAAAGCAGGGGAUCUUCGGACCUUGCGCGAUUGAAUGAGCCGAUGUCGGAUUAGCUAGUUGGCGGGGUAAAGGCCCACCAAGGCGACGAUCCGUAGCUGGUCUGAGAGGAUGAUCAGCCACACUGGAACUGAGACACGGUCCAGACUCCUACGGGAGGCAGCAGUGGGGAAUAUUGGACAAUGGGCGCAAGCCUGAUCCAGCCGUACCGCGUGGGUGAAGAAGGCCUUCGGGUUGUAAAGCCCUUUUGUUGGGAAAGAAAAGCAGCAGGUUAAUACCCCGCUGUUCUGACGGUACCCAAAGAAUAAGCACCGGCUAACUUCGUG
rnacentral:rRNA from 1 species